AGAGAGAGACAUGCGCGCAUAUCAAUAAGCGGAGGAAAAGAAACUAACAAGGAUUCCCUUAGUAACGGCGAGUGAAGCGGGAAGAGCUCAAAUUUGAAAUCUUCAAGGUUUUACCUUGACGAAUUGUAGUUUAAAGAAGUGUUUUCCUGCUGAAGUUUUGGUAAAAGUUCUUUGGAAUAGGACAUCAUAGAGGGUGAGAAUCCCGUAUUUGACCAUUAUUUUCAGCUUUGUGAUACACUUUCAAAGAGUCGGAUUGUUUGGGAAUGCAGUCCAAAAUGGGUGGUAAAUUUCAUCUAAAGCUAAAUAUUGGCGAGAGACCGAUAGCGAACAAGUACCGUGAGGGAAAGAUGAAAAGAACUUUGAAAAGAGAGUUAAACAGUACGUGAAAUUGUCAAAAGGGAAGCGUUUGACACCAGUGUUGUUUUCUCGAAAAUCAAUUAAAAAUGGCUCGAUUUUGUAUUGCUUGAGACCUUAAAAGCUCACUGUACAUUUUUCGUGUCUUUUUUAAUGCACUUUUCGUUUAACAAGUCAACAUCAGUUUCUUUUGUUGUAAAAGGGUCAUUGGAAGGUGGCUUUCUUUUCGGAGAAAGUGUUUAUAGCCUUUGGCCUCUGCAAUCGGAGAGACUGAGGUCUGCAGCGUAGUACUCUUCGGGGUUAGAUACAUUUGUGCUAAGUUAUAGCUUUUUAUAGACAACUUGUUGACUAUAAUUAGUCUUGUAGCUUACUCGCUUACGCUAUUUUACCUACGCUUAGGAUGUUGAAGUCAUCGUAUCGCGC
rnacentral:rRNA from 1 species